AUGCAGGGUGGGUUAGAUUUUGGUUCAAGACAACUUAUUGGAAGUGGAUUGAAGCUUGAAGCUGAUGUUCGGGUCAUUGAAUCACUUAAAAAGAUGUUGCACGAUUGAAGCUUGAAGCUGAUGUUCGGGUCAUUGAAUCACUUAAAAAAGGUUGCACAACUUCAAUAUGAACGAGAUGAUGAUGAUGGAGGUGGUGUGACCCGGAGGCGAUAUUGACGAUUUUCCAGCAACCUAGAUUUAACAACAUUGAAGAGUGUUUGUGUCACCAGAGAUCCCAAUCUCCCAUCUUUUGUAUGACGAUUUUGACCCAAUAGCGGUUGCCACCCCCACACAGCCUUCCCUCAUGUUGGAAAAAUGGGGAAUUCAAGAGUGCUAUAAGGUAAUGGAUGAUCAUCAAGCAUGGGCACUACUCUGUUGUAUUUUUCUGC
rnacentral:lncRNA from 1 species